ACGCUUGCUAUUUUCCCUCCUUUUUUUUGUUGCUCUGCCUCAGUCUUUUUCUCCACCCCUCCUUGUCCUCAACCCCCCCUACGCUGUGUGUCACCGCUGCCGGGAAGAAAGAAAAAUGCUCCGGCCGACAAAAGUGAGAGGAGAAAGGAGAAAACGGAGAAAAGAGUCAAAGAGAAGAAGAUAGCAAAAGCUGGAGCGUGUUUGGAGUGCAGCGAUGCCUCCAUCCACCUUGAGCCUGACUCUUCUUUGAGGGAAUAUCCCAGACAGUGGAGAGCAGAAGGAGGGAGAAGAAAAAGUAGAGGAGAAGAGGGACUGAAAGAAGAACAGAAGGACUGAGAAGGCAGGACAACCAGCGCUCGCCUCAGGAGGCUCCAUCCAGUCCGGUCUCAUUGUCCUCACACACAACUCGACUCCGAGUGUGAGCGUGCGCGUGUGUGUGCAUGAAUCUGUGUGAGGUUGGCGGGUGCAGCCGGUCAUUUCUACACCACAGCUUCAGCAGCGGAGCGCCGGGUUCCACUCUGAGGGUGCGUCAGACAGGCCAUGCCCUUCACCUGGGCCUGCUUCUGCGGCCUGAACGGGUCCUGCUGCAGACGACAGAAGAAGAAAAAAGAGCAAGUGGAGGAAAAGGAGGGUGAGGAGGUAGAACAGGUAGAACGAUGCAGGGAUCAGGAGACUGAGGUGUGAAUGUGGCGCAGGCAGCUGUGCUCUCCUCACCUUCACCAGGGUUUUAUCCUUUAACAGACCGGAAUGUGCAGCCCGGGUUACUGCUGCUUAGCACAGACUGUCUGACUGUCUCACUAUAACAGAGAUGCUAAAGGGGCUUCAUCAGGCUUUUAUUGAAAAUUAAGAAUUUAUAUUUGAACCGAUACUGCAUCUUUUCCAAUAGUACAUGUGACUAAGGCUUCAGGUUCCAUAAACUCAACUACUGUAAUACUGUAUCAGAAUGAUGAUAAUGAUCCCUAUUACCCAUCCCUGCUCACUCUCUUCUCUUGGCAGCUGACUGGGAACUUUGCUUCUGCUGAUGUUAUUCCAAAAACACAUUUCUUAUCAGUUUGAUUCAUUUAUUGCCAUAGCUGUACUGUAUAAGGCGUGCAGAGACUCUAGUCAACCAUUAUUUCUCUCAGUCACACUUCUCAACGAGGCCCCAUCUCUCCCCUCGCCUCCUUAAUCGCAGCUCCACGGACGCUGAAUCCUCACCUACCUGCUUAUGUCAGAUCAACUUAGUGAAAACUUCAGCCAAGUGAGAAAGUGUACAGUAAUUUCCAAAGUCACCCAUGGAGGGCUGGAGCCCAUCUCAGUUUUCACGCUGAGCUGGGCCCAAUCUAAAGCAGAGCAGCUGUCCAAUCAGCAGCUUAGCUGGAGUGUGAAGAUAGGAGUCAAGGGUCAGAAUGAGCAACAGGGUUUGUGAGAAGUCCCUCCUCUGAUGCCAUAGCAUCUCCGUCUCAUUAAUAGGCAGACAAGUAAUUACAAACACGCACACACACUGAUGCAGACCCAUCCAUUAAUGUCCUCCGGUGGGAGGGGAGAGUCUGUCCGUAAAUGCCACUGCGGUGCGCUUCCAGCUGUCACCUGUGUAAGUGUGUGACUCUGCAAGCAUGUCUGUGUUCUUGCGUUUCUUCUUGGCUGCAACAAUAGACUUUCAAAGCUGAAACAAGUGGUUAAGAGAUAUUUUCAGCUGCUAUGGAACUGCCUUUUCAGAAUGCACAUCGAGACACAAAGACACACACACACACACACACACGCAGGUCUCAUUAGCGCAUGUGAUUAUGCAUGGCACGUCCAGUCAGGCAGUGGAGAUGUAAUUAACCUUUUCCAGCAGGAAACAGAUGCCUGGAUGUCACACACAAACACACAAUGACAUACACACACAGACGCACACACACGUCUGCUGUCAGGGAAACAAAGCCAACGUCACGGUGUCACGGAAACAAAGACCCAAAAGCGCCGCCUGGCACUCUGUGAUAAUCCCCUCACGCAUAUUUACAUUCAGGGCUUAGAAUACGCCUCGGUGCCGCCGUCUCCACCCCACGCCUCCUCCGCCCAUCCUCCAUCUCCUCUUCGUCUACCUUUCGCCCUUCCGCCACAUUCACCCUUUUCCUUCCACUAUCUCUUCCUCUCCUCCAUCUAUUGCAUCUCUCCAGAAAGUCUCUACGUCGUGGGGUUCUUCGGUUUAUAAUCAGUGGAUAGUACAUGGCCUUGCAUGGCGUCUCCCACAGAUUAGCCCCCACUCUCUCUUUCACUGACUCUGAAUAUCACAGAUUUCUUCAGGCGGGCAAAAAGCUGCUUUACGACAGAUUAAUGGACGGCCCUGAUUGUGUCUGGUGGUGUGUGUGUGUGUGUGUGUGUGUCUGUGCCUGCAUGGAAUAGAUUGUCUGUUUACUCAUUCUCCCGCUACAAGCGGCGAAAUGAGACAAAGCUAAAGCCAUUUCACAGUGUAGAGCACCUAUUAUGAUUCACUGUGUUACGACGCAGCCCUAAUGAGAAAGCGAGAGAAUGAGAAGAGGGGUUGGAGGAGGAUAGGGGAGGAAGAGAGAAA